rnacentral:rRNA from 1 species
UUCCGGUUGAUCCUGCCGGACCCGACCGCUAUCGGGGUAGGGCUAAGCCAUGCGAGUCGCGCGCCCGGGGGCGCCCGGGAGCGGCGCACGGCUCAGUAACACGUGCCCAACCUACCCUCGGGAGGGGGACACCCCCGGGAAACUGGGGCCAAUCCCCCAUAGGGGAAGGGCGCUGGAAGGCCCCCUCCCCGAAAGGACGGCGGCCGAUCCGCCGCCGCCCGCCCGAGGAUGGGGGCACGGCCCAUCAGGUAGUUGGCGGGCUAAAGGCC